rnacentral:rRNA from 1 species
AGCGAACGCUGGCGGCGUGCCUAACACAUGCAAGUCGAACGUGAAAGGGAGCAAUCCCAAGUAAAGUGGCGUACGGGUGAGUAACACGUAGGUAAUCUACCCCAGAAUCUGGGAUAACCGGCCGAAAGGCUGGCUAAUACUGGAUAGAGCGACGGAAUCCGUAAUUGGGUUUUUCGGGAAAGGGAGCCUGUAAAAAGGCCUUCGUUCUGGGAUGAGCCUGCGUCCCAUCAGCUAGUUGGUGAGGUAAAAGCUUACCAAGGCAAUGACGGGUAGCUGGUCUGAGAGGACGAGCAGCCAGACUGGAACUGAAACACGGCACAGACGCAUACGGGAGGGAGCAGUGGGGAAUCGUGCGCAAGGGACGAAAGUCUGACGCAGCAACGCGGCGGGAGCGAAGAAGGACGUCGGGUGGUAAAGGUCUGUCGAGUGGGACGAAAAUGCUUGGAGUUCACAGCUCCAGGAACUGACGGUACCACUAAAGGAAGCACCGGCUAACUACGUG